CAAGCUUCUAUGAUCAUUCACCACAAGGACCUCACACAAAUUUAGUUUGAUUCAUAUAUUUUCUUCUUCUUUGUCACUAUCAGAUUUCAUGUAUUCGAUGUUGAUACCACACAUCACAAUGUACCAGUGAAGACAAUCAAGUUAUCGGAUCAGGAUUUUCUUGGAGAAGCUAGCUGUGUGUUAUCAGAGCAAACUUCAAACAUCAGUUUCAGCCUUAGAAAAUAUGCACAGAGACAAGACUGGCAUCAGCUUUGUUAAGCAACACCAUGGUCGUGAAAAGGUGCUUGUGCUCAACAAUACUUGAAUUUAUGGCUGAUUUUGAGUUCCUUUUGUAACUUUUAAUGAUCAUAUUUCUUGGUGAU